rnacentral:rRNA from 1 species
UGGGGAAUAUUGCACAAUGGGCGAAAGCCUGAUGCAGCAACGCCGCGUGAGUGAUGAAGGUCUUCGGAUUGUAAAGCUCUGUCUUUUGGGACGAUAAUGACGGUACCAAAGGAGGAAGCCACGGCUAACUACGUGCCAGCAGCCGCGGUAAUACGUAGGUGGCGAGCGUUGUCCGGAUUUACUGGGCGUAAAGGGUGCGUAGGCGGAUGUUUAAGUGAGAUGUGAAAAUACCCGGGCUUAACUUGGGUGCUGCAUUUCAAAACUGGAUAUCUAGAGUGUAGGAGAGGAGAAUGGAAUUCCUAGUGUAGCGGUGAAAUGCGUAGAGAUUAGGAAGAACACCAGUGGCGAAGGCGAUUCUCUGGACUGUAACUGACGCUGAGGCACGAAAAGCGUGGGUAGCAAACAGGAUUAGAUACCCUGGUAGUCCACGCCGUAAAACGAUGAGUACUAGGUGUAGGAGGUAUCGACCC